ACAUGCCUAGAACCAGCUGUUCAAGAUGACUCACCAAUUGUCUCUUUCUAGGUGAUGACAGGUUGUGCCAGGCUGACGGAACCAACCAGCACAGUGAGGAUGUGGAAAAAUGGAAGCCCUCAUACACUGAUACUGUAAAGCUAAAACGACACAGCUGUUUUGGAAAGAAAGAAGCCUAGAAGAAAACGUGUACCACAGUUUUAGAGCAUCCUUGAACAUCUGUGGCAUACCCUUUUCAGCACCAUGGACAGAUCCUCCAAGAGCUGCCAUACUUUAGGAACAAGCAAGUGAAUGGCUAACCAAGGAAAUCAUCUAUGACAGUAGAAGCCCAGACCUGUAUCCUGGAUGUACUCAAGGAUUAAGAUCGACUCAACUGAAACCCUUUGUGGCCAGAAUGAGAUUCUUGAGCAUGCUUCAGAUUGAUGCAAUUUCUCAAGAAAUGGACUAGUUUCUAGAGGACAUGAAGAAAAUUGCCAACUGUGCAUCUGAUCUUUUAUUCUCUGGAAUUUGGACCCAAUCUGCAAAUUCCACUCCCUUACACAUAAUUCUAUGUGAUCAUUACUGUCAACAAAGUUUAAGAGGUAUGCCGAUUCUACUCCCAUAAAAUGUUGUUUAUAAUUCUGUAAGAUUUAUCACUUCAAAAUGAGAAACUGUAUGUAAGGAAGACAGGUACCUCAGCAGUUAAAUGUGUUCUCUGAGCUUGCUACUCUUGCAUAGGACCUAAGAUACUUUCCCACCACCUAAAAUGGGGCAGCUCACAAUAGACUAUAACACUUGCUCCAGGAUACCUAAUGCCCUUUUCUGGUUGCCAUGGGCAC